AUAUACACACACACAUGUGUCCAAACAAAAAUACAUUAAAAUAAAAUAUAAAUAGUAAUAUGUACAAGAUGUACCAAUGUCUCUGCGCUUAAAAAGUUUCCAGAAAAUUAGCAAACUUAAGUACAUCAAAUACAGCAAAUUCAUUUAUUU